AAGCGUUGUUCGGAUUUAUUGGGCGUAAAGCGCGUGUAGGCGGUUUCUUAAGUCUGAUGUGAAAGCCCUGGGCUCAACCCAGGAAGUGCAUUGGAUACUGGGAGACUUGAAUACGGGAGAGGGUAGUGGAAUUCCUAGUGUAGGAGUGAAAUCCGUAGAUAUUAGGAGGAACACCGGUGGCGAAGGCGGCUACCUGGACCGAUAUUGACGCUGAGACGCGAAAGCGUGGGGAGCAAACAGGAUUAGAUACCCUGGUAGUCCACGCCGUAAACGAUGAGAACUAGGUGUUGCGGGUAUUGACCCCUGCAGUGCC
rnacentral:rRNA from 1 species